GUUUGUGCCUCUACUAUAUUUUGAGAGAUAUCUGAAAUUGUGAUAGUGAAUUAGCCAAGGUAAGACAGAGGUCCUGGAUGCAGAAAGGCUGUGAAACUUGCCCAUUGUGUUUAGGAAGACAAGGCCAAAAUGUAACCUGGACCACAAGAUUGUAUGUGAUGUCACCAUCCUGAAGACCUAUAACUCAGAGAUAUCCAUAUAUCUAUAUCUCCAGCUACAAUCCUCACACUAUCUCUCUGCCUCAAAGAUACGAUGGAUUGUGUCAGACCACUGCAAUAAAGGAAUGACUAAUUUUCAUGGUUGAUAGUCACCCAUUGCACCUCCUAUCAUCAUCUGUUCCACUUUCCCGAUGGGAGAACAGAAGAAAAGAAGUGAAAAAUCAAAGACAGCCUCGUGUGGACCAUCCAGUGACUUAACGCUCAUUGAUUAGGACUGCAUCAUGUGGGUGCACCAAAUUUCAAGAAAUUCUGAGAGCAUAAUGUAGAUGCCUCUCCUGGAGACUCUUUGAAUCUACUUCAUGAGAUCCAUGACACUGUCUGCUAUGUCGUUGCAGAGCUUCUUGCAUGGAAUGAUGGUGAUGUACUUGCUCAUGUGUAAUUUCUGUAGUACUUCUCUAUGAAGACCCAGUUACCUUUAUGGCUUUGGGCCAACACUGUUGGUGCAAAUGCUAUUGAUGCUGUCAUAUCUGUGUGAGAACCACAGAAUUGCAGCAACCACUCUAGUAUCAGGAAGAGAAUUAAAGAGCCAUGCUCAAGAUGGCAAAGAGGAAAAAGGAGCAAUCAUUGUUCAAUAACCCAAUGAUAUUGCCAAUUCACUGAAUUAAUAAAACCUGGAGCCACACCUACUCCUUUUUUUUUCUUUUUCUUUUUUUUUAAAUUAUUACUAUCCUUUAAGUUUUAGGGUACAUGUGCACAAUGUGCAGGUUUGUUACAUAUGUAUACAUGUGCCAUGUUGGUGUGCUGCACCCAUUAACUCCUCAUUUAGCAUUAGGUAUAUCUCCUAAUGCUAUCCCUCCCGCCUCCCCCCACCCUACAACAGGCCCCGAUGUGUGAUGUUCCC
rnacentral:lncRNA from 1 species